GAUCCUGGCUCAGGAUGAACGCUAGCUACAGGCUUAACACAUGCAAGUCGAGGGGGCAGCAUGAACUUAGCUUGCUAAGUUUGAUGGCGACCGGCGCACGGGUGAGUAACACGUAUCCAACCUGCCCGAUGACCCCGGGGGAUAGCCUUUCGAAAGAAAGAUUAAUACCCGAUGGCAUAGUUCUUCCGCAUGGUAGAACUAUUAAAGGAUUUCGGUCAUCGAUGGGGAUGCGUUCCAUUAGGUUGUUGGG
rnacentral:rRNA from 1 species